UACGUAGGGGGCGAGCGUUGUCCGGAGUUACUGGGCGUAAAGGGCGUGCAGGCGGUGCGGUAAGUUUAGAGUGACAGUAUCCGGCUUAACUGGAUAAGGCCUCUGAAAACUGCCGGACUUGAGGGCCAGAGAGGGACAUAGAAUUCCGGGUGGAGUGGUGAAAUGCGUAGAUAUCCGGAGGAAUACCAAAGGCGAAGGCAGUGUCCUGGCUGGCAACUGACG
rnacentral:rRNA from 1 species